UAAAACAGUGCAGAAGCUCUGAGAAAGCUGCUUCCUUCGCAAAGUAAGGAAACAACUGAAGAGACGGCAGGGACAUGGUUCAAAUCCAGGAGCAGUCAAUUCCUGAGGCAUGGAGGAGCAGUAGCAAGUAGAGACAAGAGAUACACAACAUAGACAUGUGCAACUAUGUUCAUUUCCAGGAGGAUGCAAUUACUGAUGUGUGCAGGAGUCAGUUCAGCAUGGCAGAAGGAGCGGACCAAGAAAGAACGAGGAGCCACCGUCGUAAUACCGCCCGGAUGAUCCAAAGAGUCGCAACACUUCCAGGUUCCUUUCUUCCCUCUGGUCCCCGUUUGAUGAUGUCUGCCACCCAUCCAGCACCAUGGUUUUCCCAACAUCCCACUGUUUAAUUUCCGUUCCGACCCCAUAAAUUGUCCGUCUUCCCAUCCUUCUAAGUCUUUCAGUUUUUUGGAAAUGAUUGACCAUAUUUUGCUACAGUAUACAAGGCUAGAAAC